CUCCCGUUCUGCACAUACAGUAAACACACUUUUUGGGUAUUUUAAUUGUUUUGUUCAUUACGCUAAAAUGUACCCUGUGGUAAAGCUGUUUUGGUGCCUGCUUCUGUAAUUAAGCGGCGCUGAGUUACCGUAAUGCUGUGGAGGUAAAAGAGGUGCAAAUGCGCACUAGGCUUAUUUCUGACAAUUAAGAUGCACGUGCACUACACAGCCCUGCCGCGGGGUGGAGCCAAAAGCCUUUCAACUUUCAUUUGACGGACGCUGGGGUGUAACUUAGCCCGAAAAAGUUGGGUUUCAAGUUUCAUACUGCAUUCUUUUGGUACACUAACAUCUAGAUACUCUUCACUGAGUCGCGUUGACUGGAGAAAAUAACUGCUGAAGAGAGUUAAUAGAUGCAUUUUUUGAAAGUCAUAAUACCGCAUCUCUGCGUGGGACACCCCGAGAACAGUAUCAAGCUAGCCAAAAUGAGGAAAACUCUCCACGUUUCCGGUAUUCUUGUUGCUUAACCUGACAAUUUGAGUCAAGUCCCCAGUGUGCGACUUUCUGACACUCCUCUCAGCAUGGAAGACACACCUCAGUCCAGGCUUUACCCGUAGAGGAACUUCACUCACUUACAACUUGGAUUAUGGAUUCCUCCACAAACAGUUUGGAUGGGAUCUCACACACUAGUGCAGGGGCGUGCAGGAUGUUGAGCGGUGGCGAGGCAUCAAAAUCAAAGAGGACAACACAAAGCAGCGAGCGGCGUGCUUCGGGACAAACGCUGUCU